AGCUCCAAUAGCGUAUAUUAAAGUUGUUGCAGUUAAAAAGCUCGUAGUUGGAUUUGUGGUUGGAGUGGCCAGUCCAACACAGUGUGUGGGUACUAGGCUACUCUGUCCAUCCUUGGGUGGAAUCUGUGUGGCAUUAAGUUGUCGUGCAGGGGAUGCCCAUCAUUUACUGUGAAAAAAUUAGAGUGUUCAAAGCAGGCUUAUGCCGUUGAAUAUAUUAGCAUGGAAUAAUGAGAUAGGACCUCGGUACUAUUUUGUUGGUUUGCGCACCGAGAUAAUGAUUAAUAGGGACAGUUGGGGGUAUUCGUAUUCCAUUGUCAGAGGUGAAAUUCUUGGAUUUCUGGAAGACGAACUACUGCGAAAGCAUUUACCAAGGAUGUUUUCA
rnacentral:rRNA from 1 species